rfam:Oryza glumipatula chromosome 6, whole genome shotgun sequence.
AAAGAAUUAAUUCCUAAGUUUCUGUGUCUAACGUUUGACUAUCUAUUUUAUAUGAAUUUUUUUUAUAAUUAUUAUUUUCAUUGUUGUUAGAUGAUAAAACAUGAAUAAUACUUUACGAGUGGCUUAUCUUUUUAAAUUUUUUUAUAAUUUUUUUAAAUAAGACGGACGGUCAAACGUUGGACACGGAAACCAGGAAUUGAGUUAUU